rnacentral:tRNA from 1 species
GCCCUGGUGGUCCAGUGGUUAAGAUUCGGCGCUCUUACUGCUGUGGCCUGGGUUCACGUCCCUGUCAGGGGA